CAAUAGCGUAUAUUAAAGUUGUUGCGGUAAAAAAGCUCGUAGUUGGAUUUCUACCGAAGAUAGCCGGUCGGGUCUUCGACCUUGUAUCUGGUUUUGUCUUUGGUAUCCUCAUAGGGAACGUUUCUGCGCUUUAUUGCGUGGUGCGGUAUCUAUGACUUUUACUUUGAGGAAAUUAGAGUGUUCACGGCAGGCAAACGCCUUGAAUAUAUUAGCAUGGAAUAAUAACAUAGGAUCUUCGUCCUAUUUUGUUGGUUUCUAGGGCUAAGAUAAUGAUUAAUAGGGAUAAUUGGGGGCAUCUGUAGCAACGCGUCAGAGGUGGAAUUCUUGGAUUGCGUUGCGACAAACUACUGCGAAAGCAUUUGCCAAGGAUGUUUUCAUUGA
rnacentral:rRNA from 1 species